UGAGUAAUGUCUGGGAAACUGCCUGAUGGAGGGGGAUAACUACUGGAAACGGUAGCUAAUACCGCAUAACGUCGCAAGACCAAAGAGGGGGACCUUCGGGCCUCUUGCCAUCAGAUGUGCCCAGAUGGGAUUAGCUAGUAGGUGGGGUAAUGGCUCACCUAGGCGACGAUCCCUAGCUGGUCUGAGAGGAUGACCAGCCACACUGGAACUGAGACACGGUCCAGACUCCUACGGGAGGCAGCAGUGGGGAAUAUUGCACAAUGGGCGCAAGCCUGAUGCAGCCAUGCCACGUGUGUGAAGAAGGCCUUCGGGUUGUAAAGCACUUUCAGCGAGGAGGAAGGUGGUGAGCUUAAUACGCUCAUCAAUUGACGUUACUCGCAGAAGAAGCACCGGCUAACUCCGUGCCAGCAGCCGCGGUAAUACGGAGGGUGCAAGCGUUAAUCGGAAUUACUGGGCGUAAAGCGCACGCAGGCGGUUUGUUAAGUCAGAUGUGAAAUCCCCGGG
rnacentral:rRNA from 1 species